rnacentral:rRNA from 1 species
AUUGAACGCUGGCGGCAUGCCUUACACAUGCAAGUCGAACGGCAGCACGGGAGCAAUCCUGGUGGCGAGUGGCGAACGGGUGAGUAAUGUAUCGGAACGUGCCCAGUCGUGGGGGAUAACGUAGCGAAAGCUACGCUAAUACCGCAUACGAUCUGUGGAUGAAAGCGGGGGACCGUAAGGCCUCGCGCGAUUGGAGCGGCCGAUAUCAGAUUAGGUAGUUGGUGGGGUAAAGGCCUACCAAGCCGACGAUCUGUAGCUGGUCUGAGAGGACGCCCAGCCACACUGGGACUGGGACACGGCCCAGACUCCUACGGGAGGCAGCAGUGGGGAAUUUUGGACAAUGGGCGCAAGCCUGAUCCAGCAAUGCCGCGUGCAGGAUGAAGGCCUUCGGGUUGUAAACUGCUUUUGUACGGAGCGAAAAGGCUCUCUCUAAUACAGGGGGCUCAUGACGGUACCGUAAGAAUAAGCACCGGCUAACUACGUGCCAGCCGCCGCGGUAA